GGGAAGGGCGGCUUGGCAUCGGGACCGGAACCCGAGGCCGGAGCUACUCUGGGCUCGGCAGCCUUGCUCUCCGCCCAGGUCGCACCCUCCCUGGUCUGAGGCUUCGCUUCUGAAAACGCGCUUUACCGGAUUUGCGGGGUGUUUUUCAUUUAAGGAGCUCGAGCUGCCGACGAACACAGCCUCCUCCCUGCUCCUCAUGGUCCUCGGCCUCAUCCACCAAGACUGGACUCGCCUCACAGCUGUCGAGCAUUCUGGGGCACAGACCCCACCUCCAUGCCUUUGCCAUCUCCCGCCCCAACCCCGGGACCUCGUGCAGGUUCUCAAUAAAUGGAGCUGAACUGAGUGAAUCAGGAAGCGACACCCCAGGAGGAGAAAUUGCUACAGGAGUUCCAGCACUGCACCUUUGCACCUCACCGCCCAGAAGCAAAGAGGCUCGCACCCCCCCACCCAUUGAUCAGUGUCGCAGAUGUCCUGGUCCCCAUAGGAUCUGGUGGAUUCACAGUCAUGUUUGGAAGAAGAGGGUCCUCCCGCCAGAAUCACCUCUGUGUUGGCCCAGCCCGGGGCCACAUGACUCCAGAAAUGCUCAGGAGAAAGGGGACCUGGGGGCAGGAGGCCAGCCAAAGAUGGGCUUCGAGGGUCACCUUGGGAGCAGGGGACUCCCAGCCCACCCAGGCAGCCAUGGCGCCCAUCCCCUGUGCGGAGGUAAAGGCCAGGCCUGGGGAGACCUGCAAGCCAGGCAGACCCAGGCCCACCCGCGCCCAGAGAAGGCUCCCAGCCCUGCCUGCAUUCGGUGCCCUAGGAUGAGUUCUGCCAGGCUCUGCUCA